rnacentral:rRNA from 1 species
UGGGGAAUAUUGCACAAUGGGCGCAAGCCUGAUGCAGCCAUGCCGCGUGUAUGAAGAAGGCCUUCGGGUUGUAAAGUACUUUCAGCGGGGAGGAAGGGAGUAAAGUUAAUACCUUUGCUCAUUGACGUUACCCGCAGAAGAAGCACCGGCUAACUCCGUGCCAGCAGCCGCGGUAAUACGGAGGGUGCAAGCGUUAAUCGGAAUUACUGGGCGUAAAGCGCACGCAGGCGGUUUGUUAAGUCAGAUGUGAAAUCCCCGGGCUCAACCUGGGAACUGCAUCUGAUACUGGCAAGCUUGAGUCUCGUAGAGGGGGGUAGAAUUCCAGGUGUAGCGGUGAAAUGCGUAGAGAUCUGGAGGAAUACCGAUGGCGAAGGCGGCCCCCUGGACGAAGACUGACGCUCAGGUGCGAAAGCGUGGGGAGCAAACAGG